GCGGGUUUAGCUCAGUUGGGAGAGCGUCAGACUGAAGUCAAACUUCAAUCACUAUCAUUCGAUAUCUGAAGGUCGUGUGUUCGAUCCACACAAACCGCA
rnacentral:tRNA from 1 species